rnacentral:sRNA from 1 species
AAAACUCCCCAAAGUGUGUCCAUCCCCUUUUGACUGGGUAUCCUUGGAGUUCUUAACUCUGAGAGUUGUGCACCCUGAGCAUCCAGCAGUUCGUCGAUCACAGUUCCAAAGUUCCUACCGACACUGGUUCCUGUGGAGGUUUCUGUUCCUGGGUUUCUGCUCUGAUCCCUCCUGCAUGGAAAAACUACUUUCAAAAGAUUGGAAGGAAAAAAUGGAAAGACUAAAUACCAGUGAACUUCUUGGAGAAAUUAAAGGUACACCUGAGAGCCUGGCAGAAAAAGAACGGCAGCUCUCCACCAUGAUUACCCAGCUGAUCAGUUUACGGGAGCAGCUACUGGCAGCGCAUGAUGAACAGAAAAAACUGGCAGCCUCACAAAUUGAGAAACAACGGCAGCAAAUGGACCUUGCUCGCCAACAGCAAGAACAGGU